rnacentral:lncRNA from 1 species
UAAGAUCUAUACUCUCGAUCUAUACUCUCGAACUAUUUAGAAUAAGAUCUAUUUUUUAAACUAUUUAGAAUAAGAUCUAUACCCUCGAUCUUGAUUACAAAAUUCCUAUUAUCAUUUUUUAGAGGAUAUUUAUUUUCAGCCGUUCAUUUUUACGCCCACUUGAUGGACAAGAGAAUAAUAUCGGAAAAGUAUAAAAUUUGAUUUCUAGAUACUUCAAGUGGUAUAAAUCAUAUUCAACGGUGCUGAUCAUCGAUUUGGAGGCUCCAUUAUCGAAAACAAAUAGGUGACAACAGAGCCCG